rnacentral:rRNA from 1 species
UACGGAGGAUCCGAGCGUUAUCCGGAUUUAUUGGGUUUAAAGGGUGCGUAGGCGGCCUAUUAAGUCAGGGGUGAAAGACGGUAGCUUAACUAUCGCAGUGCCUUUGAUACUGAUAGGCUUGAAUGUACUUGAGGUAGGCGGAAUGUGACAAGUAGCGGUGAAAUGCAUAGAUAUGUCACAGAACACCAAUUGCGAAGGCAGCUUACUAAAGUAUGAUUGACGCUGAGGCGCGAAAGCGUGGGGAGCAAACAGG